rnacentral:rRNA from 1 species
CAGUUCGGACUGGAGUCUGCAACCCGACUCCACGAAGUUGGAUUCGCUAGUAAUCGCGCAUCAGCCAUGGCGCGGUGAAUACGUUCCCGGGCCUUGUACACACCGCCCGUCAAGCCAUGGGAGCCGGGGGCGCCUGAAGUCCGGGACCGCGAGGACCGGCCUAGGGCGAAACUGGUAACUGGGGCUAAGUCGUAACAAGGUAAC